ACCCCUUAGAAUCAGAGACAGUUUCAAAACACUCUCAGUGCUGCAAAAAACACAUGCAGCCCACCAGUGAGAGGCUUUACUCUGAAAUCCAGCCCAGGGCACUGUUAGACACAGAGAUUUCUCUGCUGUGAGGAGUUACAUAGCAAAAAAAAAGGUCAAACCCCCCUUUGUUUCCAGGCCUGUAAAAACUUACUGUCACACUCCAAAACUACAACAAUGUAGCCUUUAACAAGCCUGUCAAACUUGGGAGUUAUACUACUUAACCUGUAUAAAUGUUUCACAGAAUUCGUUAAAAAAAAAGCCACCUGUCAUAACGUCUUAAUUCUGAUGUAUUUAAUCACUUCAGCCAAAAGCUCCAAUUUUGUCAUUCAGAAAAUGUAGCCUGAAUUUCAUCUGUUCUUUGAAAAGCUGUGAUAUGAAAUUAACUCUUUGGCCACAAUGAAGUCUCGUUGUCUUCAGCAGCAUCAGAAUUUCACCCUUCAUUAAUACAGAAUGUCCAUAAAAUGACAUUUGUGUUAAACAUAUAUUUGCAACAUAUAUUUUUAUCAUCAAUGAUAAAAUUUUAUACCAAUGAGAAUGGCAGCCAAAACUGCUGUGAACUGAGAAACUUCCAUUAUUUUUCUUUGUUGCUUAAUAUAGAAAAUAUGUAUCAUUAGUUGUAGUGGGUUUCAGGUAAAAAUUUCUCAGCACUGGUGGCUUGAGCAGAUUAUUCAUGUGUGAUUGUACAACAUUUCCCUUUUAUGAAGUAAAAAACGUGAAAGAGAAGCGUGAGUAAGAAACUGGUAGGGAUUUACAGCACGUCAACCACCUUCAUGGGUAACUUCUGUUGGCUUGGAUUUUUGGAGCAGGAAAAGUGAAAGGACAUCCAGUCUAAACCAGAUCUAUCUGAUAUUUAAUUCUGGGUGUAUGAGGCAGGAAAUAGCUUUGCAAUGCAGCAAUUUCCUCCCUAGAAAAGCAACUUACUUUGCAAAUAUUAAAGUCAAUAGUGCUGCAUGUCUCUGCCCACAAGCAGUUAGCCUGAAGUGCAUGAUGGCAAUUUUGAUUGGGGAAAUAAAUUCUUUCAGAUAAAACGAUCUGCAGGAGUGAUAACAAAAGAAGCCUAUCCUGAAGGACUUGGUCAGUAGUAAGGGAUUUUCAUAUUCAUGUCACUCUGCCUCAGCAGAAAAAUACUGAUUUUCCAGUUUAUUUACCUGAGCUGUUUGGAUUGGAGAGGUGAAGUUUCCUUCCUUACCACAGAAGGCAGUCAUGUAACACAGCUUUGGUGUGCUGCCUAAAGCAUUAGUAAUGACAAGGUUUAGUGCCACUGUACAUCUGUUCCAGGAAUUCCUGGGAAAAGCAUGGGAACUUGGUUUAAAUGAGAAAUCAUAAGUUCAUGUUGUGGAUUUCUUACAAUAUUAAAUACAGUUUCCAAUUUCUUUUUUAUUUUUCUUCUGCCCUCUUGACUUCAACACCUCUGUCACUGGUUACUGCCUUUAAACCAGAAGCUGUUGUGAAUGGAAACGAUAUCUACAUAGUACUUGUUGGAGCACCUUGUUCUUGACAGGCAGCCCUUGGCACUGCCUCAACAAUGCCACAGCACCAGAUGAGAUCUUUCAGUGACAGACAGGCAAUACCUUUUGCAAUUGAAUCAACAGAGCUGGAUUUAGAUGCUGCAGGAGCCUGAUGGAGACAACAAAAAUUCUGGUGCAGGAGACCUGACAAGUUCAAGACCUGUUUCUGAUCUGGAUGCCAGUUGUUUCACAGAGUGCAAGAGACAAAGAAUUGUCCAGGCACUGUAUGAUGGUGCUGAAAGGUAAAGGGUAAUAUCAUUAAGGAGAAGAACCUUACUGGAUAAUUUUAGUUAUAGAAUCAAUUUUUUUUUCACAGAAGGACUAAAGAGAUAUACUUUUGUCAUCAUGUGUUUUAUCCACCUAAGUGUCCUUGUUUAAAAAAGUACUGCUGGGUAAUGGAAUAAGUGAAUCAAUUCUAAAGAAUUGAAUUGCAGCACCCUGAGCUGCAUGGAAACAUUGCACAGAUCUCAUGAUUUCUGUCAUAUCAUAACAGCAGCAUUUGUUUCCUCAAAGUUAAACACCAGAAUCCCCUGCAUCUUGUUCCUGUUUAUCAUGGCUUUAAACCUUCACCUUCAGAAAAGAGUGAAAUGGUGGGCAGCAAAGGAAAGAAAAAUAUCUUUUAGUAUCUUGCAGUUGUACGUGUUGUGUGCUGUUGAACUCCUCGGAGCUGGCCAGCUCCAAUCACUUCUCAUCUGUCGAUUUUUUCUACACAAGCACAGAAAAGCAACUUUUUAUGUCAGAGUGAUGAGCCACUAGAGGCACAUGACAGUCAGAACUUCAUAGUGGACCUGUCUGUGAACAAGAAAUAUACCUUUUUCUUGGGAGGGUUAUAAGUUGGCACUUACUCCAGUAUAGCAGCUUCCUGAAACAGCCGGGAUGGCGGGAUACUCCUUGGAGGGAUGUCAGGGAGCUGGAAAAUGUGUUUGGAAGGGCUGGGAGCAGCACCUCACAUUUCAGCUGACAAGGUAACUUGCCCACCUUCAUGCUGUGGGGGCAGUCCCGUAUCUUUAGGUAUUGUGUAGGAGUUGAAUCAACUCUUCAUGUGGUUUGAGCAGAAAGAAAUGCUUUGAACGUAGAAGGAGAACCAGACCCUUAGUCUGACGGAUGAGUGCCGGUGUUCAACAGCUGAAUGGGCAGGUACAGAGGAUGGUAUCUCGGAAGAAACUGCUGCAUUCUCCUUUUAAAACUCCAUAAAGUAUUCAUGUUCCCACGCUUGUCCUCACAUCCCCCUGUAGAGCUGAGAUGUGAUUAAUUCCUCAAUUUUCUUUUUCAAUUUCACUCUCUGCAUUUUUUUUUCAAACAGAUGAGAAACUGUUGUCUUCAUUGUUUGCAUGAGCCAUGUCACUGGAGAUUUAGUGUGCAGAGUCAGAGCAUGCUCAUUGGCAACGUACUUUAGCACACAGCAUCAUCAUUCUUUGAAUUACUACAUCCUUUUGCUAUAGGGAAAGAGACUAUUUUGAAAUAUUUGCAGUGUUAGAGUUCACAGGGGAAGAGCAAAUGCUUAGUCCUUAGCAGGACCCAUUUCAAUAGAAGGAGUGACUCUGCCAUGUCACCCAAACCUGGAGCUGUUCUGCUUACCUGCUCUCGUGUCACUGGUGCCAUCAGGAUACUGGAACACUGGGAACCCAAGGGAAGUGCAGGGAUGGGGAGCAAUAAUGGUGGUACAGACAGUAUAGAGGUAACAGACAGUUCAGAACCAGGAGAGUUUGUGAUUUAGGUAGUUAAGUAAUUGAACA